CCCUUAGACGUUCUGGGCCGCACGCGCGCUACACUGACGGAGCCAGCGAGUAUAAACCUUGGCCGAGAGGUCUGGGAAAUCUUGUGAAACUCCGUCGUGCUGGGGAUAGAGCAUUGUAAUUAUUGCUCUUCAACGAGGAAUUCCUAGUAAGCGCAAGUCAUCAGCUUGCGUUGAUUACGUCCCUGCCCUUUGUACACACCGCCCGUCGCUACUACCGAUUGAAUGGCUUAGUGAGGCUUCCGGAUUGGUUUAGAGAAGGGGGCAACUCCAUCUUGGAACCGAGAAGCUAGUCAAACUUGGCCAUUUAGAGGAAGUAAAAGUCGUAACA
rnacentral:rRNA from 1 species